UAAGACGAACCGUCCAAACGUUAUUCGGAAUUACUGGGCUUAAAGGGUGCGUAGGCGGCUUGGCAAGUUGGGUGUGAAAUCCCUCGGCUCAACCGAGGAACUGCGCUCAAAACUGCCAAGCUAGAGGAAGAUAGAGGUGAGCGGAACUAAUGGUGGAGCGGUGAAAUGCGUUGAUAUCAUUAGGAACACCUGUGGCGAAAGCGGCUCACUGGGUCUUUUCUGACGCUGAGGCACGGAAGCUAGGGUAGCGAACGGGAUUAGAUACCCCGGUAGUCCUAGCUGUAAACGAUGAGCGCUAGGUUGGAGGCUCCUCCAUAGGCUUCCGACCGAAGCGAAAGUGUUAAGUGCUCCGCCUGGGGAGUAUGGUCGCAAGGCUG
rnacentral:rRNA from 1 species